UACAGAGGUCUCAAGCGUUGUUCGGAUUCAUUGGGCGUAAAGGGUGCGUAGGUGGCGCCGUAAGUCAGAUGUGAAAUUUCGGAGCUUAACUCCGAAACUGCAUUUGAUACUGCGGUGCUUGAGGACUGGAGAGGAGACUGGAAUUUACGGUGUAGCGGUGAAAUGCGUAGAUAUCGUAAGGAAGACCAGUGGCGAAGGCGGGUCUCUGGACAGUUCCUGACGCUGAGGCACGAAGGCCAGGGGAGCAAACGGG
rnacentral:rRNA from 1 species